GACGUAGGGGGCAAGCGUUGUCCGGAUUUAUUGGGCGUAAAGAGCGUGUAGGCGGUUUGGUAGGUCCGCUGUGAAAACUCGAGGCUCAACCUCGAGACGCCGGUGGAAACCAUCAGGCUAGAGUCCGGAAGAGGAGAGUGGAAUUCCUGGUGUAGCGGUGAAAUGCGCAGAUAUCAGGAGGAACACCGAUGGCGAAGGCGGGUCUCUGGGCCGGAACUGGACGCUGGAGGAGCGAAAGCCGUGGGGAGCGAACAGGA
rnacentral:rRNA from 1 species